UCCCUCUCAGGGUCGCAGCUGGAGAAUGUCCACUACUCUACCAGUCUCGGCUAUAGGAGGGAGAGUCAAGCAGAGGCAUACCCAUUCCAUUCCUAGCUUGGGCAGUGGCUAGCGAGUGAAAGGCAAUCUGCUACGAGU